UUGUGUGUCAUAAAUGUUUGUCAACUAAAACAUAAAUCAUCAACUCGCAUUUAAAUUUUGUAUUUUUAAACUCUUUGAAAAUACAGUAAAAACCAAGUUGAUGAAAAUAUCCCAGAACGCAAAUGCGAAAGGCGGGCUUUGUUUUUUAGAAAUAAUACUGGAGGCGAGCGACUGGGUGGAGGGGUGAUU